ACGGGCGACGUGUUUAGGUAACGAAAGGACACCACAACCUGCGUGCUACAGGCAAAGAGACAGAUAACCAUUAUGAAGCAUGUCUACAUGAUUACCUUAUUACUGGUAUUGGGUCUGUUUACGACCGUCAGUCUGGCCUGUAAUACAGGGUCGGACAACCAAGGGAAUGGAGACAAUAGUGGAACAAAUGACGGCACAGCGAAAAAUCAGCGUGUGAAACGAGUUGACAAUGAUGCAUUCGGAAAUCCAGGAUUGCCUCCUAUUGGCGAUUGAAGAUGUAUCGUAUAUUACAUUAUGAUCGAUAGGCCUUGAGGACGGCUUUGUGGAAACAACUUCAUCUACAGGAUAAAAUAAUAAACAAAUCAAAACUU